rnacentral:rRNA from 1 species
GAAAUUAAAAUUUUAUAAAUAAAAUUUAAUUUUUAAAAUAUUUUUAAUUAAAAUAUUAUUAAUUAAUAUUAAUUUAAGUAUAUUAAAGAAAAAAUGUAGUAUAAUGAUAGUUUAUUAGUAAUGAAAAUGAAUUAAUUAAAUUAAAUAUAAGAAUUUUUUAAUUAGAGUACCUUUUGUAUCAGGGUUUAUUUAAUAGAUAAUUAAUACUUAAUUAAUCUCGAUUUUAAAAGGUUAAUUUUAUUAUUUUUUAUAUUGUUGCAUAAAUAUUUAUAAUAAUAAAUUAGUAAUGAAAUGUUAUUCGUUUUUAAAAAUAUCUAGUUUUUUUAGAAAAAAAUUUAAUUUUAUUAUAAAUUAUUAUUUAAAUUUAAAUUUAAAUUUAGAUAUUUAUUUAUAAAAAAAUUUUUAGGGAUAAGCUUAAAAAUUAAAUUAUAUUAGUAAUUAAAGAUUUAAUUAAAUUUAUGAUUAAAAAUUUCAAUAAUAUUAAUAAUUUUAUAAUUUAUAUAUAAAAAUUUAAAUUUUUGUAAAAUUAAUUUAUUUAUAAAAAUAUUUAAAAAAAUAAAAAUAUUAAAUUAAUAAUGAUAAAAUUAGUAUAUAUUUAAUAUAAAUUAAUUUAUAAAAAAAAUAUAAAUUAAAAAUAAGGAAUUCGGCAAAAUUAAUUGCUCGCCUGUUUAUCAAAAACAUGGUUUUUUGUUUAUAAUUUAAAAUUUAAUCUGCCCACUGAUUAAUUAAAGGGCCGCAGUAUAUUGACUGUGCAAAGGUAGCAUAAUCAUUUGUUUCUUAAUUGUUGACUUGUAUGAAUGAUUGGACGAGGUAAUUACUGUCUCAUUUUUAUUUAAAGUAAAAUUUUAUUUUUAAGUUAAAAAGCUUAAAUUUAGUUUAAGGACGAGAAGACCCUAUAGAGUUUAAUUAAUUUAGUAAAAAUAAUUAUUUUUGUAUUUAAAUUUUUUUUAUAAAAAUUAAUUUAAUUGGGGUGAUUAAAAAAUUUAUUAAACUUUUUAAAAUAUUAUUCAAAAAAUUUUGUUUAAUUUUGAUCCAAAAAUUUUUGAUUAUUUGAUUAAAUUACCUUAGGGAUAACAGCGUUAUUAUUUUGGAAAGUUCAUAUUUAUAAAAUAGUUUGCGACCUCGAUGUUGAAUUAAGAAAAAUUUUUGGUGCAGUAAUUAAAAUUUUUAGUCUGUUCGACUAUUAAAUUCUUACAUGAUUUGAGUUCAAACCGGUGUGAGCCAGGUUGGUUUCUAUCCUAAAUUAUAUAAAAUAUUUUAGUACGAAAGGACCAUUUAUUUAAUUAAAAAUUUAAUUGUGAAUUACUUUGGCAGAAUAGUGUAAUGAGUUUAGAAUUCAUAAAUGUAUAAAUUAUACAAG